AGAGCGAGCGAGAGCGAGCACAGGCAGACAGAGUGGAAGGCAGAGUCAGAGGGAGAAGCAGGCUCCCUGCGGAGCAAGGAGCCCGAUGUGGGACUCGAUCCCAGGACGCUGGGAUCAUGACCUGAGCCGAAGGCAGCUGCUUAACCAACUCAGCCACCCAGGCGUCCCUACUUUGAUUUUUAGAUAUGAUUGAAGGAUAGGCCAGAAUGAUUUAUGUGAACAAUGAAAUUCUACUGAAUUUUUGUUCCCUUUUUCCUUUUUCUUUUUGAUAGUGGCUUUUAAAAUUCCUUUGGAAGAACUAUGAAUAUUUCCUCCAUAACUUAAGAUAAGGUUUUGUCAGUUUUGAGGGGCCUGGGUGGCUCAGUCGGUUAAGCAUCCAACUCUCGGUUUCAGUUCAGGUAGUGGUUGCAGGGUCCUGGGAUCAAGCCUCGGGUAGGGCUCCCCACUCAGCGUGGAGACUGCUUUAGAUUUUCUCUCCCUCUCCCUCUGCACCUUCUGCUUGUGCUUUCUCUCGCAAAUAAAUAGAAUCUUAAAAAAAAAGAUAAGGCUUUGCCAGUUUUUUUUUUUUUUUUUUUUUUUUAAGAUUUUAUUUAUUAGGGAGAGCUUGCAUAAGCACGGGGAGGGGCAGAGGGAGAAGCAGAGUCCUCACUGAACAGGGAGCCUUACACACUGCCUGACUCCAGAACCCCAGAAUCACAACCUGAGCUGAAGGCUGAUGUCUAACCAACUGAGCCAUGGAGGUGCCCCCAAGGUUUUGUCAGUUUCAAUUAAAAAAUAAAAAUCGAUGAAGUGAGCAGUGCUAACAUUUAUAAAGAUGAUUUCAGAACAGAUUGUACCUUACAAUGUUGUAUCUUUAAAAUUCAAGAUUAUGAUUUUUCCCAAGUGAUUAUUUUUACCUAUAUGGAAUGCAUACCCUAAUAUAGUACUUAGAGAGUGAAUUUUUAUUUUAUUUUCAUUUGAUUUUCUCCUCCACUGGGGCUGUGAGCUAAGUGGCCUCUCUGGUUCAUUGCUGCAGCAUAGGGUAGGGAUUGCAAGAGUAUUUGUUGAAUAAUGCAUGUUCAGAUGCAUGUGGAAAAUUGUGGAAGCCUUUUAAAAUUUACCAUCCUGUGAUUUUUAUUACUUUGUGCCUUAAAAUUCGUACUGGCUUAUAGAGCUAUAAGUGCUUUGUUUUGCGGAUCUGAAUUAUGUUGACCAGAAAUGUUCCGUUAAAGGGCAAUACUUUUAUCCAAGAUGGUAAUAAAAAUAUUCACCCACUGCUCCAGGAGAGACCCCACCUGAUUGGAAGGACAGCACCUGUCAGGCAUACCUGUGCUUUCUGCCUGAACAUCAGUUUCUCUAUACCUUGCAGAGCGCGGUGAGACUUUAGCCUCUUUAGUUAGUCUGAUCUUCUUGGGUUCUACUCCUGUGGGCUGUCAGCAGCAGAGUAGUUUUUUAUGGAAUAUCGCCGAAAGAGCAGUAUUUGAAAAGUGUUCUCUGCAGUGCCACCUGAGCUCAGGACAGUGGGGUGUUUGGUGACUUUUUUCUGGGUGGCCUCAGUCAUGGGAAGGGAGUGCAUUUGUUGAAGCUGGAGCUGUGGAAGUGACUGUGGAGGGAGUUUAGAGCAAAAUGGGUCAGCAAGAGGAGAGUUACAGGACAUCUCUGAACAAGUGAUGAGAUGACAUUGACCAUCACUUUGGUUUUGUACUGGGGCAGGAUCAGGACAGCAUGGACAGCCUUGGAGUGUGGGGCCGGGCAGCCAAAUGAUGAAGCUGAUGGGGUUCUAGGAGUAUGUGCACUGAACGCUCCUGUCCCUCACCCAGAACCAGACUGUCCACCACCUCUGUGUGGUUUCGUUUGGUUUUUAAAAUGCUCGUGUAUGUUACAUUUGCUUUACCAUUUAGAUGGGACAAAGAGAAAUUUAUAUUUUUAGAUUUUAGUGGGAAUUUCAUGUAAAUUGUCCGGUGAAGUUAACAAGUUAACAAGUUAACAAGGUCUUCCUGCGUACCAAGCCCCAUACUCAGUGGGGAGAGAAUAGAGCAGAACACUCUAGCACCAAGCCACUGGGAAUGGCUGCAUAGCAGUAUUUGUUGAAAGAACAAGCUAUGCAUGAUCAAGGAGGAGGGAAAAGGAAGACUAAAAUGAGAAUGAUCGGAGGCUUUUUAAGACUCAAAUUUACAACUCCAGCUAAAGUUUUCUGGGUAGUCAGCUUUUGGGGAAUCAUGAAAAUUGGAAGAAAUGGCAAAGAUACCUGAAAGAUAAAUGGCCCAUUCCAUUAAAGAAAGGUAGAUUCAGGGCCACUUCAACUGAUGUCUCAUGAUAACCCUAGCAAAUUCUCAUAUUAAAAAUUAUUAUUAUACUUUAAGAUUUUACUUAUUUAUUUGAGAGUACAGAGGGACAGUGAGAGGGAGAAGUAGACUCCCAGCUGAGCAGUGAGCCGGAUGUGGGACUUGAUCCCUGGGCCCUGGGAUCAUGACCUGAGCUGAAGGCAAACAUUUAACCUACUGAGCCACUCAGGGCCCUAAAAAUUGUUUUUAAGUGCAUAGCAAGGAAAGCAAUGAAGACUAAGGAGACACUAUAGGUUUACUAAGUGCAACUUGUUUAAAAAGGAAAACAAAAAUUAAUUGUGCAUUUAAUACGGUUUCUAGACUAAGUGGUCAGGGUGAAAUGUUGAUAUUUUUCCUGACUUCAUCAAGGUAUUUAACACCAUCUCUGAAAAUCUCCCUGAGUGCAAGAUGGCGUAACAUGGUCAUAUGAUAUGGUUUGAAUCACAGCCGGACUGUGGAACAGUUCCCACAGAGCUCUGACUUUAAUGGGCUGGUGUCAACUUGAAGGGAGCCUUGCCCUCUUAAGAUGUGGAGUAAAUUCAUGGUAGCACUGCGCUCUGAGGGGACACGAGUGCCGGGACGAGGGAAGACACUGCAGAAUGGCCUGGCUGGGAAGGUAGACUUUAACAGUUAGCUCGUUUUUGCAAAGUGAACUCACCCUUGAGGAUGAGGGGGGAGAGACUUGAAGUAGUAGAUACGGUAUCUUGGUUUGUUUUUGUGUGUGGUUUCUUUUUUUUUUUUAAGGCUUAGUAUUUUGUUUGGGUUUUGGUUGUUUUAAUUGCUUUUAGUCUCAGAGGGAGUUGGCCUGCACGAUAUGCCUGACAAAUAAGAAUCCCCUUCAUUGUUUGUGUUCUCAGUGACCAGAGUGAGGGAGGUAAAAAUCCCAUUGUGUUGGGUGGGCUGCAUCUGGAAUGGUGGCUUCAGAUGGGGGGGAAGAAGGGUGCUGUUAGGGAGCCCAUGAUGGCAGACUUCUCGGAGGAGGAAGAGCUUUCUGUGAGGCCCUUGGAGGAGGAAGGGGUGAAAACGCUGGGGCUGGCUAGUCUGGACUGUGGGGUCCCCUUUGGGGACAUCUCCAUCUCCCUGGCUUUGAGCAGCUUCUGGGUGGUAGAGGAGUUAGGUUUAUUCUCCUGGAUGCAUUUGAGGCAGAAACUGGUAGAAACUGGCCUGCAAGUUGAUGGAGGUAUGUGAGCAGAACUUGCAUGUGGGAGACAUUGAGUAGCAGCAGCUUUCUCUUGGGUUUCCAUUAAGUUUGAGACCAGUGACCGGAUUCAUGUCCUUUUCAUUACCACUUCAUUUAGGACUUGACCCCUAGCUCCUUGGAUCUUCUUUUAUAAAACCAGUUUAUUUUUGUUUUUAUUUUUAUAUUUUUCUUUCUGUUUUGAAACUUUUAAACCUAUAUAACAGCAAAAAUCUUCAUACAUUGAAAGACUUUUAUAUUGUUUCUUUGGAUUUGCCAGCUGUUAGCACUUUGCCAUAUUUGCUGUGCAGUUGUGUAUUUAUCCAUUUAUCUUUUUCUCUCUUGUUUUUUGGGCAUCUUCGAAAGUAAGCUAUGGUCAUCAGAGCAAUUUAACUCACUUAACUACUUCCUCAUCUAUCUCCUCUAAGUACAAGGACAUUGUCCUACAGAACCACAAUAGAGUUCUCCAACCCAAGAAAUUAUGUAAAUACAUUCCAUAUUCAGAUUUUUCUAGUUGUCUCCAGAAGCAUCUUUAAAACUUGAAGCCUUUGUUUACUUGCUUUUAUUUACUUAUCCAGAAUCUAGUCAUGACUUAACCUUGGAGUUCUUGACAUUUUGGAUUCCUAGCCCUAACCCUCUGGAGCAUCUGGUUCUUUUUUUUUAAGAUUUUAUUUAUUUAUUUGACAGGCAGAGAUCACAAGUAGGCAGAGAGGCGGAGAGAGAGAGGUGGAAGCAGGGUCCCUGCUGAGCAGAGAGCCUGAUGCGGGGCUCGAUCCCAGGACCCUGGGAUCAUGACCUGAGCCGAAGGCAGAGGCUUUAACCCACUGAGCCACCCAGGUACCCCGGGAGCAUAUGGUUCUUUAGGACUAGAUUGGGCCUGGACAUCUGUCUUUUCCUAAUUUUUUAAUAUGAAAAUAUUCAAACCUUCAAGACAGUUAUAAGAAAAGCUCAUUUAGAUUCACCAGUUGUUAAUAUUUUGAUACCUUUGUAUUCUCUAUUUGUCUCUCUAGAAAAACACAUCAUUUUAUUAAUUUUGCUGCUGAACAUUUCAAAGGUAAAUCGUAAUACUUUACCCCAUAAUACUUUAAGUCGUACUAACAUCCUUCAAAUUUUUUCCUCAGGAUGAGGAUAUCCUCCAACAUAGUCAGAAUGAACUUAUCACACUUGAGAAAUUUAACACCGCUUUAGUACUGUUACCUAACCUAAAGUCCAUAUUCAGAUUUUCCUAAUUUAUUCCAAUAAUGACUUUUCUUUUUAAAGAUUUUAUUUAUUUGACAGGGAGAGAUCACAAGUGGGCAGAGAGGCAAGCAGAGAGAGAGAGAGAGGAGGAAGCAGGCUUCCUGCAGAGCAGAGAGCCCGAUGUGGGACUCGAUCCCAGGACCCUGAGAUCAUGACCUGAGCCGAAGGCAGAGAGGCUUAACCCACUGAGCCACCCAGGUGCCCCUCCAGUAAUGACUUUAAACUGACCCUCCAGCCUACCUUUGAAUUCUUAAUGUCUAUUUUACAUGCAGAUUUGUUCCAUUAAAUUAUAUUCCGCCCCUCCAAGGCUCAUAGGUAAACUAUAUGCCUUCUCUGUAAAACGUGCUGCCUUUUGUGAUUUUCUAAAGAUUUUACCAUGUAUUCAAUGUGAAGAUUACAAUAAAGGGAAAUUUUUCGAUUUUUUCA